rnacentral:tRNA from 1 species
GGGGAGGUGUCCGAGAGGCCUAAAGAGCCCGCCUGAUAAGCGGGUAAACCCAAUCGGGUUCGUGGGUUCGAAUCCCACCCUCCCCG